rnacentral:tRNA from 1 species
GCCUCGUUGGCGAAACAGGUAAACGCGCUCGCCUCAAAAGCGGGUCCCUUUUCGGGUUACGGGUUCGAUUCCCGUAUGAGGCACUA